rnacentral:tRNA from 1 species
AAUUUUGUAGUUUACUAAAACAUUGAAUUGCAAAUUCAAAGAGGGGACCGCCCCAAAAUUU